UACGUAGGGUGCGAGCGUUAAUCGGAAUUACUGGGCGUAAAGCGUGCGCAGGCGGUUUUCCAAGUCAGAUGUGAAAUCCCCGGGCUCAACCUGGGAAUGGCAUUUGUGACUGGAAGGCUAGAGUGUGUCAGAGGGGGGUAGAAUUCCACGUGUAGCAGUGAAAUGCGUAGAGAUGUGGAGGAAUACCGAUGGCGAAGGCAGCCCCCUGGGAUAACACUGACGCUCAUGCACGAAAGCGUGGGGAGCAAACAGG
rnacentral:rRNA from 1 species